rnacentral:lncRNA from 1 species
UUCUCCCAUCUCUGACUGAUACUGCAAUGUAUUGAGCUUUGAUUCUGUGAAUGCCCAUUUAAUUCUGACAAGAUAAAUUCACUUUAUGUAUUGUGCUGUAGCACAAGUUUACACUUCUAAUUUUAUGAGUAAGUAAGAUAAAAAAUGGAGGAAUUCUCUUUUCUGCCAUUGAAAUUCACAGUUUUACCAUUUAAAAGCCAACCAGAAAGAUAUUACUAUAGCCACAGCUGGUAGAUAAUAUUUACCAUAUCUACUAAUUGGGUAUAUUUAAUUAAUGCCUGAAAUUUCAAUUUAUUUAUGAAACAAGAAAGAAUACACAAGAGUAAAAUUAGAAAGGUGGUCCCUAAUUGCUUUUAAUGACUAUUCUGAAUAACAGUAUUAAGUAUACAUAUGCAUCCAGUCAACAACCUCCAAAGUUACAUUUCAGCAUCCUCAUACCCAAAGAAGCAAAAAAUAAAAAUCCGAAUAGUUUGAACCAAGAAUAAAACUUUUAUACAACUUACAUUUCUCUUUGAAUCUUUUAUUUCUGUAACACAAUCCCAGAACCCUGAUUCAAACACCUGGGCAAACACUAGAUAACCUCUUUGCUCCAGGCCAAUGCUUCCCAAUUAAAUUCAGUGUUUGCUAAUACUGUUCCAAUUAAGCAGUGGUGGUGCUUUGUGCUGUCUUAAGGUUAAAAAUCCCCUGGGAACAUCAGUACAGCUAUCCAUUAGAUACACUCUAAAGAUUUUAUCUAUCUCAAUAAAAAGAAAAAAAACUCUAGCAAAAUGGUUAGCAGAGAAAUCUCAAAAUUUACUUGCCACUUUCUAUCCACUUCACUAAAAUUCUUUCUGUAAAUAAAGGAUUGCCCAUACUGCAGUGGUAAUAUCUUGCAAUCACAUCUUUUGGGGUUUGGUGUUUGUUUUUUUUUUUCUUUUUUUUCCCUUGAGGAUAAAAUCUGAAAAGCACAGAAUUUUUGCUUUAAAAAUUACAAAAUAGAACAUCAGAAAGUCAAACCAUUCUUGUUGCUGCUGUUUUUUUCUCCAAAUUAAAUAUAAAUUGUGACAGAAAAUUUCACACAUAGGGAUUAAGUUUUAACACAGUUUCUUUGUUUGCAGUUAGUAGAGAACGGCACCUUGAGUAAAGCAUUCAUUCCAUUUCUAUACACUUCUGGCAAUCU